rnacentral:misc_RNA from 1 species
AACAUCGCGCACCUGCGGGAACCUGCGGAGGGAUCAUUAAAAAUUGUUCCAAACUACCGGUUUUAAGCCGGUAGCUUUCUCAACCCUUGUGAAUUGUAUGCUGUGUAAAUCUCUUGAUUGGUCUUGGAUAGUCUCGCUGUGUGUGUUAUCACACACGGUAAAAGACAAAGAUCGCUAGAGAUUUUAUUCUAAACUCCACUAAAUUAUUAUAAUUGGGUUUUUUAAAUGAUUUGUAAAAGU